CCUACGGGAGGCAGCAGUGGGGAAUUUUGGACAAUGGGCGCAAGCCUGAUCCAGCAAUGCCGCGUGAGUGAAGAAGGCCUUCGGGUUGUAAAGCUCUUUUGUCAGGGAAGAAACGGCUGAGGUUAAUACCUUUGGCUAAUGACGGUACCUGAAGAAUAAGCACCGGCUAACUACGUGCCAGCAGCCGCGGUAAUACGUAGGGUGCAAGCGUUAAUCGGAAUUACUGGGCGUAAAGCGUGCGCAGGCGGUUUUGUAAGUCUGACGUGAAAUCCCCGGGCUCAACCUGGGAAUUGCGUUGGAGACUGCAAGGCUGGAGUCUGGCAGAGGGGGGUAGAAUUCCACGUGUAGCAGUGAAAUGCGUAGAGAUGUGGAGGAACACCGAUGGCGAAGGCAGCCCCCUGGGUCAAGACUGACGCUCAUGCACGAAAGCGUGGGGAGCAAACAGGAUUAGAUACCCUGGUAGUCCACGCCCUAAACGAUGUCUACUAGUUGUCGGGUCUUAAUUGACUUGGUAACGCAGCUAACGCGUGAGUAGACCGCCUGGGGAUACGGUCGCAAGNUUAAAACUCAAAUGAAUUGACGG
rnacentral:rRNA from 1 species